UACGGGGGGAGCAAGCGUUGUUCGGAUUUACUGGGCGUAAAGGGCGCGUAGGCGGUCGUGACAAGUCACUUGUGAAAUCUCCGGGCUUAACUCGGAACGGUCAAGUGAUACUGUCGGACUAGAGUACAGAAGGGGCAACUGGAAUUCUCGGUGUAGCGGUGAAAUGCGUAGAUAUCAGGAAGAACACCCGUGGCGAAGGCGGCUCUCUGGGACGGUACUGACGCUGAGACGCGAAAGCGUGGGGAGCAAACGGG
rnacentral:rRNA from 1 species